rnacentral:rRNA from 1 species
GAGUUUGAUCGUGGCUCAGAGCGAACGUUAGCGGCGCGCCUAACACAUGCAAGUCGCACGGAGUAGCAAUACUCAGUGGCGCACGGGUGCGUAACACGUAGAUAAUCUGCCCUUCAGCGGGGGAUAACGUUCCGAAAGGAGCGCUAAUACCGCAUACAGCGUUUGGUGGUUCGCCACUGGACGGCAAAGGCUGGGAUCUUCGGACCAGUCACUGAAGGAGGAGUCUGCGGCCCAUCAGCUAGUUGGUGAGGUAAUGGCUCACCAAGGCAAAGACGGGUAGCUGGUCUGAGAGGAUGAUCAGCCACACUGGUACUGGAACACGGACCAGACUCCUACGGGAGGCAGCAGUGGGGAAUCUUGGUCAAUGGGCGCAAGCCUGAACCAGCGACGCCGCGUGAGUGACGAAGGCCUUCGGUUG